rnacentral:misc_RNA from 1 species
AUUCCUCAUCUAGAGAAUAAGAAUAUUUACUGUCUUAAAUUUUGCACAAUAAUAGUAGUUAAUUCUAGAUUGUGACUAGAUCUAUUGUAUCAUGUGAGCUAAAAUUCCCCUUCUUCUAGGCUAGUUUACUUUGGCUUCAUCCCAAUUUUCAGAUCAUUGUAUAGUACCACUGGUAUUUUUUUUUUUUUGCUUAUAUUUGUUAUUAGAUUGUGUUUUUCUACGGAUUAUGUCUGAUUUCAUGCCUGCAGCCUGGUAAAUUUUUUUUUUUAUGGCUUGCGAGUUUUGUAUUUGGCUAAACCCAUAUAGUGGUAAACUAUGCAGGAUUUAUAUCUAACUUGAAGGAAUUUGCUUCCUUUACAUUUUUUUUCUCUUCCAGUACUUAAAAAGUAUGCUUUCUGGUUUGGUUUCUCCAACCUUUUUCUUACUAAGAUUUGCACAAUCAAUUGCUAUUUGAUCAGAUUGACUGCAGAACAUAUGCAUCUAAUGAUAAAUUUCAGUUUUGAAAUGAAUUCUGAAUUUUUGUUGGUUGGAUUUCCAGUUGAUUGAAGCAUG